rnacentral:rRNA from 1 species
GUGGGAAAUAUUGGACAAUGGGCGAAAGCCUGAUCCAGCCAUGCCGCGUGUGUGAAGAAGGUCUUCGGAUUGUAAAGCACUUUAAGUUGGGAGGAAGGGCAGUAAGUUAAUACCUUGCUGUUUUGACGUUACCGACAGAAUAAGCACCGGCUAACUUCGUGCCAGCAGCCGCGGUAAUACGAAGGGUGCAAGCGUUAAUCGGAAUUACUGGGCGUAAAGCGCGCGUAGGUGGUUUUGUAAGUUGGAGGUGAAAUCCCCGGGCUCAACCUGGGAACUGCCUCCAAAACUGCAUGACUAGAGUACGGUAGAGGGUAGUGGAAUUUCCUGUGUAGCGGUGAAAUGCGUAGAUAUAGGAAGGAACACCAGUGGCGAAGGCGACUACCUGGACUGAUACUGACACUGAGGUGCGAAAGCGUGGGGAGCAAACAGGAUUAGAAACCCGAGUAGUCC